rnacentral:pre_miRNA from 1 species
AGGAGGAACAGCCCCAGUGGCGGGGCCAGCUCUGGAAACCUGGAUUCAGCUCCGGCAGGAACUCAGUCUGCAGGGCCUGGAGGCUCCGGGGCGGG